rnacentral:rRNA from 2 species
GCUACUUGAACAAUAUGUAUUAGAUCUGAUAUAAGUCGUAACAUGGUUGCUGUUGGAGAACCAUUAGCAGGAUCAUAA